GCCAGACUCCUACGGGAGGCAGCAGUGAGGAAUAUUGGUCAAUGGGCGAGAGCCUGAACCAGCCAAGUCGCGUGAGGGAAGACGGUCCUACGGAUUGUAAACCUCUUUUGUCAGGGAGCAAGGAGCGCCACGAGUGGUGCGGCGAGAGUACCUGAAGAAAAAGCAUCGGCUAACUCCGUGCCAGCAGCCGCGGUAAUACGGAGGAUGCGAGCGUUAUCCGGAUUCAUUGGGCGUAAAGCGCGCGUAGGCGGCCCGCUAAGCGGGACCUCUAACCUGGGGGCUCAACCUCCAGCCGGGUCCCGAACUGGCGAGCUCGAGUGCGGGAGGGGCAGGCGGAAUUCCCGGUGUAGCGGUGGAAUGCGCAGAUAUCGGGAAGAACACCGAUGGCGAAGGCAGCCUGCUGGGCCGACACUGACGCUGAGGCGCGAAAGCUAGGGGAGCGAACAGGAUUAGAUACCCGCGUA
rnacentral:rRNA from 1 species